rnacentral:rRNA from 1 species
UACGUAGAAGACUAGUGUUAUUCAUCUUUAGUAGGUUUAAAGGGUACCUAGACGGUAUAAUUAGUCUUUAAUAGGAAACGGUUAUACUAGAGUUAUAUAUGAGGAGGAGUGUAUUUGUGGAGUAGAGUUGAAAUUCUUUGAUACCAUGACGACUGGUAAAGGCGAAAGCAACCUUUUAUCUAAUAACUGACGUUGAGGGACGAAGGCUCGGGUCGCGAACAGG